GUGGUAGCUCAGUUGGUUAGAGCAUGGUGCUGAUACAGUGGUACCUCGGGUUAAGUACUUAAUUCAUUCUGGAGGUCUGUUCUUAACCUGAAACUGUUCUUAACCUGAAGCACCACUUUAGCUAAUGGGGCCUCCUGCUGCUGCCGCGCCGCCAGAGCACAAUUUCUGUUCUCAUCCUGAAGCAAAGUUCUUAACCCAAGGUACUAUUUCUGGGUUAGCGUAGUGUGUAACCAGAAGCGUAUGUAACCCGAGGUACCACUGUAAUGCCAAGGUUGCAGGUUUGAUCCUCGUAAGGAACA